rnacentral:rRNA from 1 species
GACGAACGCUGGCGGCGUGCUUAACACAUGCAAGUCGAACGGAAAGGCCCUGCUUUUGUGGGGUGCUCGAGUGGCGAACGGGUGAGUAACACGUGAGUAACCUGCCCUUGACUUUGGGAUAACUUCAGGAAACUGGGGCUAAUACCGGAUAGGAGCUCCUGCUGCAUGGUGGGGGUUGGACAGUUUCGGCGGUUAGGGAUGGACUCGCGGCUUAUCAGCUUGUUGGUGGGGUAGUGGCUUACCAAGGCUUUGACGGAUAGCCGGCCUGAGAGGGUGGCCGGGGACAAGAGGACUGAGAGACGGCGCAGACUCCAACGGGAGGCAGCAGUGGAGAAUAUUGCACAAUGGGCGGAAGCCUGAGGCGGCAACGCCGCGUGCGGGAUGACGGCCUUCGGGGUGUAAACCGCUGUCGCCUGUGACGAAGCGUGAGUGACGGUAAUGGGUAAAGAAGCACCGGCUAACUACGUG